rnacentral:rRNA from 1 species
GACGAACGCUGGCGGCGUGCCUAAUACAUGCAAGUCGAACGCAGUGGCGAACGGGUGAGUAAUGCCUAGGAAUCUGCCUGGUAGUGGGGGAUAACGUCCGGAAACGGGCGCUAAUACCGCAUACUAUCAGAUGAGCCUAGGUCGGAUUAGCUAGUUGGUGGGGUAAAGGCCUACCAAGGCGACGAUCCGUAACUGGUCUGAGAGGAUGAUCAGUCACACUGGAACUGAGACACGGUCCAGACUCCUACGGGAGGCAGCAGUGGGGAAUAUUGGACAAUGGGCGAAAGCCUGAUCCAGCCAUGCCGCGUGUGUGAAGAAGGUCUUCGGAUUGUAAAGCACUUUAAGUUGGGAGGCGUUACCAACAGAAUAAGCACCGGCUAACUUCGUGCCAGCAGCCGCGGUAAUAC